AACAGAUUAAAAAGAUAGGAUACCAUGAUCAAGUGAGUUUCAUUCAAUCACUUGAUCAUGGUAUCCUAUCUUUUUAAUCUGUUUUUGUAU
rnacentral:miRNA from 1 species